GAUGAACGCUGGCGGCGUGCCUAAUACAUGCAAGUCGAGCGAACAGAUGAGGAGCUUGCUCCUCUGACGUUAGCGGCGGACGGGUGAGUAACACGUGGAUAACCUACCUAUAAGACUGGGAUAACUUCGGGAAACCGGAGCUAAUACCGGAUAAUAUAUUGAACCGCAUGGUUCAAUAGUGAAAGACGGUUUUGCUGUCACUUAUAGAUGGAUCCGCGCCGCAUUAGCUAGUUGGUAAGGUAACGGCUUACCAAGGCAACGAUGCGUAGCCGACCUGAGAGGGUGAGCGGCCACACUGGAACUGAGACACGGUCCAGACUCCUACGGGAGGCAGCAGUAGGGAAUCUUCCGCAAUGGGCGAAAGCCUGACGGAGCAACGCCGCGUGAGUGAUGAAGGUCUUCGGAUCGUAAAACUCUGUUAUUAGGGAAGAACAAAUUUGUAAGUAACUAUGCACGUCUUGACGGUACCUAAUCAGAAAGCCACGGCUAACUACGUG
rnacentral:rRNA from 1 species